AUGGAUGCCCUCCACCUACCUCCCGGGACCCCAGGUCUGGGUAGCUGCCCCUCCAGAGAGAACCCAAGCAUCCGAGGUCCUGGUCACUAUGACCCCUGCUAUUGGGUGGCUUCUAUUUCUGGCUGCAGAGGAAGCCACAGUUCCUGGCAAGUUCGAGUUCCUGACCAUCGUCCCGGCCCACGGAGACAUUUACCUGGACACCUCCUAUUAUUCAUCUGCAAAGUGUCUGGCCGGGAAGUUGAGGCUCGCUUUCGCUGGCUGGGACCUGAUGGGGAGGAGGCGGCUCUUGGAGGGUCCUCCUUCUCGGCUGAGCCCAUCUACGAGGCUUCAGUGGGGCUCCGAGUGACCCUGAGCGAGCCAGGUCAAGGUGGGCCCCUAAAGUGCGUGGCAGAGAUUGGAGAUACUGAGGAGGAGAAGAUGCUCGAGCUCUGGGCCAUCGGGUGUGUGUGUGUGUGUGUGUGUGUGUGUGUGUGUGUGUGUGUGUGUGUAGGGGAAAUGGGGGGAGGAGGGUGGAGACUCGGGAGAUGGAGCACGAAGAGGUUGUGGGGUAAGACUUGGGACACCACUGGGGACACCAGGAAAAUGGGAAAGGCAUAGGACACCCCUGGUUCGGGGAGUUGAGAAAUGGGGAAGAUAACAGAGGUCAGGUUCUGCUAUGAGAAACCCUAGAGAUUGUGAAACAUGGGUGGAACAAGAGAUGUAGGGCAGAAGAUGAAGAAAGGAGAGAUUCCUAUAGAAAAGACCAACAGAACUCCCCCUUUCCAACUUCUUUCCCUUACUUGCCCCUCAGAGAGGCCCCGUAUCCUCGGCCUUAAUCUCAGCCCCACCGUUGCGGAGGAGGGGUCCGUCAGGGAGCUGCAAUGCAAGGUGUCAGGGAUCCCCCAGCCCAACAUUACCUGGGAGCAUCAGGGCUUGGUGCUGGGAGGUAACGGUGAGUAAGGGGCCAGGGACCCAGAUGCCCGGAGACUGGAUGUCUAGCUCCCUGAGGGAGCAGGUAUCUGAAGACAGGACAUUUAGGUCUCUUCUGUAUCCCUGCUGCUCCCUUAGGUCGGGUAUCAGUGCAGGAUGGAACUCUGACCAUCCGGGACCUGGAGCCUUCGGAUGCUGAGGUUUACACUUGCGAGGCGUCCAUAGCCGAGCGCAUGGAGAGCGCGCGGGAGAACGAGAAGCUGAGAGUGACUUGUAAGCGCAGGGCGGGGCGGGGCGGGGCGGGGCGGGGCGGGGUGGGGGAGGGAGAGAGAGAGACAUCUCUGUGUCUUUGUCUGUUUUCCUCUACCUUUCGGGGGCCAGUUCAUCCUCUCACACCCUCCUUUCCUUUCCACCUCACAGUCCGUCCCCGGCUGGAGGGACCCAAGGGGAACGCAGGGGUCUUCUAACCACACUGACCGUAUUGGUGCACGGGGAGCCGUCCCCGGAGCUCGGCCUCUCUUGGAGGGGCAGCCUUCUGCAGGAAGUUCGUCAGGGGGCUCCACACAUACGCACCUUCCAGGUGAGUGUACUGGACACCCUGGUCUUGGGCGGGGGGGGGGUGAGGGGGAGGGGCGCAAGGCGGAAGAGCCCAGUUUCUCGUUCUCUAAAGGCAUCUGCGUCCCCAAGGCGGUGGGAUCUGGGGACCAGGUCCAAGGGCUCAGACACGGGAGCUCCCUUCCCAUUUCCGUCCUGCUGUUUCAGUUCAUCCCUAAGGAGAAGGCAGAUUUCACCCCAAUGAAACUCCUCGCCUCCAAUCCCUUUGGUACCUCGGAGCUGGAGAUCCAGGUGCUGGAAGAAGGUGAGCCCGAGGCUGGAGAUCCGGACCCCUAAGUCUCCUUCCCUUCCUCUCUUGACUUCUCUGAAUCCUUAAGGCAGUGGGGAUGGGGAGCUGGGAACCUGAGUUUCUGAUGGGGUUGAUUUGGAGCUGGGGGUCCGAAUUCCUCAAUCCUUGUUGCCUUUUGACAUCAGUACCAGGACCUUCAAGGACUGAAUUUUGGUGUGACUGGUAGCCUAGAAGCCUGGGUGUCUGGAAGGUGCUGGAGCUGAAGGCCCAGAUGAAGGCCCGAAGGGUUGGGGCAGAACUCGAAAUUAUUGAGGGUGUGGGGAUCCAGGAUAUCAGUGUCCUUAAAGGGAUGAGGACCGGAGGUCUAGGGCUAAUGAUUUCUCCUUUUCCCCGAAGAUCCACCGGUGCAUUUUUCCCCCUUUUUCUCUCUAUCCUCUCCCCACAGUCACCCUCUAGAGUGCUGGGUCCUGGGGCCAUUUCAGGCCUUGCCUUGGCCUUUCUACUCGUUCUGGCCGUAGGAGUAGACGCCCUGUGCUGUCCGGACUUCCCGUUGCUUUAAGAGAGAGCAGUAGAAAAGCCGGUGAGCCAAGGAGAGGGGCUGGAAAGGGGUGGGGGAGGAGGGUGGGAGGGAGACUGCCUCUACUCUCAGCCAGAGGACCCAGGACUGACCCCUGUCUUUUCUCCCUUCAGCAUGUUGCAAAGAUUCUUCCCAAGAAAAGCAUUUCCCCUAAUGUCUCAGGGCUCCAGGCCUGAAUACCGCGGUCUGGCAAUUGGGAAAUUUGGGGAAGAGGUGGAAGGGGGAUGGUUCCAACUCAGAAUAAAGUUGAUUUUAUGGCUUUUCCUGGUCUUU
ensembl:lncRNA